GACGAACGCUGGCGGCGUGCUUAACACAUGCAAGUCGAACGGAAAGGCCCUGCUUUUGUGGGGUGCUCGAGUGGCGAACGGGUGAGUAACACGUGAGUAACCUGCCCUUGACUUUGGGAUAACUUCAGGAAACUGGGGCUAAUACCGGAUAGGAGCUCCUGCUGCAUGGUGGGGGUUGGAAAGUUUCGGCGGUUGGGGAUGGACUCGCGGCUUAUCAGCUUGUUGGUGGGGUAGUGGCUUACCAAGGCUUCGACGGGUAGCCGGCCUGAGAGGGUGGCCGGCCACAUGAGGACUGAGAGACGGAGCAGACUCCUACGUGAGGCAGCAGUGGAGAAUAUUGCACAGUGGGCGGAAGCCUGAUGCAGCAACGCCGCGUGCGGGAUGACGGCCUUCGGGUUGUAAACCGCUUUCGCCUGUGACGAAGCGUGAGUGACGGUAAUGGGUAAAGAAGCACCGGCUAACUACGUG
rnacentral:rRNA from 1 species